UGCAGCCUUGAACCCCCAGCUCAAGUGAUCCUCCCACUUCAGCCUUCCGAGUAGCUGGAACCACAGGCACCCACAUGACGCCCAGUUAAUUUUUGUAUUUUUGAUAGAGAUGGGGUCACAUUAGAUUGCCCAGGCUGGUCUCGACCUCUCUGGCUCACACGAUCCUCCCGCCGCGACCUCCGAGCGGCUGGGAUCAGGCGUGAAUCACGGCGCCCGGGCUUUAUAUUUCGUUUUGAAAAUGCUGAGAUGGACGCAAAGGGCUGAGUGCUCAGUGUCCGCCAGCCACCCUCAGUUGCGGCUUCCGUCCAAAGAAGGAAUCGCACUCCCUGCUGGGGCCACUAACAGCACUAACACGAUCCGAGUGGCAUCUGCAAAGCUCGGGAACGGCGGCGACAGAUGGGAAGACGCGAGGGAGCCUGGGGGCCCUCAGGAGAGCCGCGCACCCUCGCGGCCGACUCAGCCAGCACCCACACUCUCCUACCCAGACCCCGGCCGCCUGCCAGGACUCUCUGGCCCGCACCUCUAUGGUAGGAAACCCAGAAAACAGGAAGUGGCCUCGAGGGGGGCAAGGGAGGGGCGGGGCCUCCGAGGGGCGGGGCCUCCGCCACCACCUCCGCUGCGGACCCAGGCUAGAUGGCGGCCACCGAGGGGGUUGGGGAGGCUGCGCAAGGCGGCGAGCCCGGGCGGCCGGAGCAGCCCCCGCCCCAGCCGCACCCACCGCCGCCCCAGCAGCAGCACGAAGAAGAGAUGGCGGCCGAGGCCGGGGAAGCCGUGGCGUCCCCCAUGGACGACGGGUUUCUGAGCCUGGACUCGCCCUCCUACGUCCUGUACAGGGACAGAGCAGAAUGGGCUGAUAUAGAUCCAGUGCCGCAGAAUGAUGGCCCCAGUCCCGUGGUCCAGAUCAUUUAUAGUGACAAAUUUAGAGAUGUUUAUGAUUACUUCCGAGCUGUCCUGCAGCGUGAUGAAAGAAGUGAACGAGCUUUUAAGCUAACCCGGGAUGCUAUUGAGUUAAAUGCAGCCAAUUAUACAGUGUGGCAUUUCCGGAGAGUUCUCUUAAAGUCACUUCAGAAGGAUCUACAUGAGGAAAUGAACUACAUCACUGCAAUAAUUGAGGAGCAGCCCAAAAACUAUCAAGUUUGGCAUCAUAGGCGAGUAUUAGUGGAAUGGCUAAGAGAUCCAUCUCAGGAGCUUGAAUUUAUUGCUGAUAUUCUUAAUCAGGAUGCAAAGAAUUAUCAUGCCUGGCAGCAUCGACAAUGGGUUAUUCAGGAAUUUAAACUUUGGGAAAAUGAGCUGCAGUAUGUGGACCAACUUCUCAAAGAGGAUGUGAGAAAUAACUCUGUCUGGAACCAAAGAUACUUCGUAAUUUCUAACACCACUGGCUACAAUGAUCGUGCUGUAUUGGAGAGAGAAGUCCAAAAUUGCCACAGCCACCUCAUCCUUCAGCACCCAGCACCCUACCCUGAUCAGUCAGCAGCCAUCAACAUGGAGGCCAGACCCUCCACCAGCAGAAAGAUUACGACUUGCUGAAGGCUCAGAUGAUCAUUAGCAUUUUUUAGCAAUAAAGUAUUUUUUAAUUGAGAUACACUCUGGAAAUGAUUAAACUAGUACCACAUAAUGAAAGUGCAUGGAACUAUUUGAAAGGGAUUUUGCAGGAUCGUGGUCUUUCCAAAUACCCUAAUCUAUUAAACCAAUUGCUUGAUUUACAACCAAGUCACAGUUCCCCCUACCUAAUUGCCUUUCUUGUGGAUAUCUAUGAAGACAUGCUAGAAAACCAGUGUGACGAUAAGGAAGACAUUCUUAAUAAAGCAUUAGAGUUAUGUGAAAUCCUAGCUAAAGAAAAGGACACUAUAAGAAAGGAAUAUUGGAAAUAUAUUGGAAGAUCCCUUCAAAGCAAACACAGCACAGAAAAUGAGUCACAAACAAAUGUACAGCAAUAACACCAUCCAGAAGAACUUGAUGGAAUGCUUUUAUUUUUUAUUAAGGGACACUGCAGGAAUUUAAAACGAGAGUGGUCCCUCCCUUUGCCUGUGGUGUGAAAGUGCAUCACACAGGUAUUGCUUUUUAACAAGAACUGAUGCUCCUUGGGUGCUGCUGCUACUCAGACUAGCUCUAAGUAAUGUGAUUCUUCUAAAGCAAAGUCAUUGGAUGGGAGGAGGAAGAAAAAGUCCCAUAAAGGAACUUUUGUAGUCCUAUCAACGUGUAAUCUAAUCCCUUAGCAUCAACUCCUCCCUCAGGGGUACACGCAUCAAGAUUUGUAGCAGUAAUAACUGCGGGUCACUUGUAUGUAAUGGAUAUGAGGUAGCUGAAGUUUGGUUCAGUAAGCAGGGAAUACAGUGGUUCCAUCAGAGCUGGUCUGCACACUCACAUUAUCUUGCUAUCACUGUAACCAACUAAUGCCAAAAGAAUGGUUUUGUAAUAAAAUUAUAGCUGUAUCUAAAAACA